rnacentral:rRNA from 1 species
AAUGUAGGCGGUUUUGUAAGUCAGAGGUGAAAUCCCUCAGCUUAACUGAGGAAUUGCCUUUGAUACUGCUUAGCUUGAGGACAGGAGAGGAAAGUGGAAUUCCCGGUGUAGCGGUGGAAUGCGUAGAUAUCGGGAGGAACACCAGAGGCGAAGGCGGCUUUCUGGACUGAUCCUGACGCUGAGAUUCGAAAGCCAGGGGAGCAAACAG